rnacentral:lncRNA from 1 species
GGGCUCUAACGGCUGAGCGGGGGUCCUUGUCCCCGCCUUCUCCAAGGACAUCUUUCUUAAGUAGCGAGUGCAGCAGCUUUCAUUUUCUGGAAUGUUCCUGACCCCAUUGUGACUGGUGGUGGUAAAAAUUAUCUAUCAAGUCCACUUCUUAACGUGGAAAAGAACUCAGCAGAUUUUGUUAAUCACUUUAUGGAGAUUGAAACAUUAUCUUUUAAAUUUUGAUACCAGCGAUUGCAUUAUCUGAGGAAUUGACAUUUAAAGUGAAACUGAAGCCUUAUGAGGAUGGGGUGGGGGUGUUGCGUGGGUGGUGGCGCGUGCAGAGAUAACAGCAACGCUUGAUCGUAUUUGUGUAGUUCGAGAGAUCAGUCAAAGAUUGGUUACUGGAAAACUAGCGGCGCCAUUAUUUGAGAUUGGAAACAAGAGGAAACGUGAUUUUUGUUUGAGGAGGAAGUUAAGGGCUUCAGUUUGAAGGAUGGCCCCAGCUGUACCAGAAUGUCUGUGACCUUCAAGGACGAAACUGUGGACUUCACCCAGGAAGAGUGGGCCUUGUCUGACAAAGGAAGCUGUAUGGAGAUGUGAUGUUGGAGGACACCGCUCACCUGGUCUCUGUGGGUAAAGAACUCAGUGAACAAGACAACUGCAUAACCUCAACGAGGAAAGUUCAACUUACAAGAAAGUUCUACGGGAAAGGUGAACACUGAGUAUCAUGGGCACUUCACACACUGUUAGUGCACUGUGAAUUCCUACAAGCAUCCCGAAAAGAAACCUCAUAAUAUGUAUCCACAGCCUUGGAAAUAUUUAAGACCUUUUAUUCAGUAUGAUUCCCUUUCUAGAAAUGUACCCUGAAGAUGUAAUCUGUCACUCAAAGACCCUGCACAAGGAUAAUUGAUGGAUUAGUAUUUAUUAGAGUGAAACUGUAACAAUCUGAAUGAUCCAUAGUUAGGGGAAUUGUUAAAUGAUUAUAUGUCCUUACAGUUAAAUAUUAGACAGCUUUAAAAAGGUGAACGUUAUAACAACAUUUAUGGACGUGGAAAAUGCUAAUGAUUUAAUGUUAAGUGGAAAUAAAACAGAAACCAGGACUUUCUCUAUGUGGUCAUUAUAGCUGUUUAUUCUUGAGAGAGAGAGGCACGCAUUGGAGGGAAAUAUCACAAAAUACUCAUUCACUGGGGACAAAGCGUAGUUUUUUAUUAUUUUUCCUAAUUCCUAUGUUUCCAAAUUUACUAAUUUGAUUAGGUAUCAUAGUGCUCAAAAAAUCUUUCAUUUGGAAAUGUAGAUUAUGUAAUGUCCAACACUACAGAAUUUUUAUUUUUAGUGUUUUUCUAUUCAAUGGACCAUUUCUAUCCAAUGGUCUGCUUUGUUUUGUUUGCAGUGUUUCUGAGUUCUUACAAAGUCUGAGACAUUUUCAACAUGUCUAUCCUUCUAGUCAAUGAAGGGAUCCCUUUCUGAUGUAAAGAAGUGUGUAAUUUUGCACACCAAACUUUGGUAGCAUUUAUUUUACACAAGACAACGUGAAACCCAAAGUACUGGGUGCACUGAGACCAACGCUUGGACACACGUCAUUGGUACUCACAGCUCAUUCUCACAUGGUGGCCAGAUUUCUGACUCCAGCCCCUGCCAAAAAGAAAUCAUGUCUUCCACUCACAGAUUCUUCCAUACCCUCCCAUCUCUUAAGCACAUUCAGUAGAGACAGUACUGGACUUGAUUUCUACCCGAGGUGCUAUUUAAUAUGCUAAUUGAGGAGAGAGAAGGGCAUAUGUGGUGAUAGCCCCAAUCCCUCAGUUACCUCACAUAAUUGGGAACAAGUCAUUCUGUAGAAAUGAGUUUUGCAGAAGACUGAAGCUAACCAAAGUGGCCAGAGCUUUGGUGCAAAUCUUUCUAUAUAACUGAGAACACCUUUCCUGAUUUCCUCAUUAUAGUGGCCCUGUCAUUGUGAGUUUUUCUCUUGCAUGAUGACUGGAAAAGUCCUUGGAAAGCAAAGGUCUUUCUCCCUGGAUUUCUGUGGGAUAUUUUCCCCUUUGCUGCCUGUGGGGACUUGGACUCGGAAAAGCAGAGUAGAAAGGGCAAUGAAGGGGGAGAUGGGAAAAGCAUUUCCCGUUUCCCUGCUGGUCCUCCCAUUUCCACAACGCACACCUACUCCAGUUCUGGUGAGGCUCCGGCGGCUCUGUGUCCUGCACUGACUCCUCACCACUUCAUCCUAUGAACCCUCGUCUUCCCUCGGGCUCAGCCCACUGCUCUGCUCCUUCUUGAGCGUUCAGGGAGACGGGGCAGAGGAGGCUCAAUGUCUCAGGAGCAAGACCGAGACAAAAAGAACGCAGCUUUUGACUUUUCAGUUCCAGCAGGAAAUUGAAAACUGCAGUAAGGUGCACACUGAGUAUGUGGAGCUAAGUGGAGAAAUCACGUGGUUGGAGAAGUCUCAGAAGGGUCUGGAAGGAGCUGUGACUCACCAGGAUGAUAAUAUUGAUGUAAGCUCAUCCGCAUGAGCACACUUGGAAAAUCUGCUUAAUUCAACUUAGAAGGCUCUUUCUAGUACUAUCCUGUUGCUGUCCUAGACUGUCACUAAUGCAUCGACAGAUGAAUCCACUAUAUUAGGAAUCUGAGUCUCAGGGCAGUAGUGCAGGAGGAAAUGAAUUAGCAAAUGGAGAACUGGCAGGUAAGAUGAAUGAGCAAAUUCUGAAGUGUUGGUGUUGCAGGCUUCCCUCCUGGAAUUGUUUGUGUCCCAGUGCAUCAGGCCGACGUGCGAGCUGGGUGUGGCAGAGGGCUGGACAAGCCUAGAAGCCCGACUUCCGGUUCUCAUCCUUUUGAGAGUAACAUCCGUGAGGGCAGCUGGAGCAGCACUUGUCAAGUCUUCCCUUUAAAGUCCUGGAUACUGUCCUGUCGGUUCCGUCCAGGAGGGACUGUCUUCUUAACCUCACGGUGAGAACGUUUGUGGUGUCGUUCAUCAUUUGUGGCUUCAAGGCCCCUUGUCAGCAUUUGAACCCAGAGGUGGUGGAGCCAUCUCCCAGGAUUGGUGGCCUUAGGCUGCAGGCUGAGGGGCAGCAGUGGCCUUCUCUGCCCAUGGUGGAAAUGUUGCUAGAGCUGUGUCCCAAGUUAGAUGUCACUUGUGGUGCACAGCUGGUGGUGUCAUCCGCACUAGGUAGCAGCUUCAGGGGAGAACGGAGGAGGAAAUCUGCCCAAACCAGAUUUAUACCCAGGUGGAGGUGGAUCUGAGAGAGAAGCAAGAGCAUUUCAUUCCUUCAGCUGAAGAGGGCAGGGAUAACCAUUUUCUUCUACAUGCUGUGUCUUCUUCCUUCAUAUUUAAGUUUGUAAUUCCUUUAAAAGUCAAUUGUACUGGGGGCCGGCCCCGUGGCAGAGUGGUUAAGUUCAUGCCCUCCGCUUCCUCGGCCCAGGGUUUCGCUGGUUCAAAUCCUGGGUGCGGACAUGGCACCGCUCAUCAGGCCAGGCUGAGGUGGCAUCCCACAUGCCACAACUGGAAGGACCCACAAC